rnacentral:rRNA from 1 species
UACGUAGGGUGCGAGCGUUAAUCGGAAUUACUGGGCGUAAAGUGUGCGCAGGCGGCCGAGCAAGUCGAGUGUGAAAGCCCCGGGCUUAACUUGGGAAUUGCGCUCGAAACUACUUGGCUGGAGUGUGGCAGAGGAAGGUGGAAUUCCAGGUGUAGCGGUGAAAUGCGCAGAUAUCAGGAAGAACACCUAUGGCGAAGGCAGCUCUCUGGGCCUUACCUGACGCUGAGGAGCGAAAGCGUGGGGAGCGAACAGG